rnacentral:rRNA from 1 species
CCUACGGGAGGCAGCAGUGAGGAAUAUUGGUCAAUGGUCGGGAGACUGAACCAGCCAAGCCGCGUGAGGGAUGAAGGUACAGAGUAUCGUAAACCUCUUUUGUCAGGGAACAAAGGCGGGGACGUGUUCCCGGAUGAGUGUACCUGAAGAAAAAGCAUCGGCUAACUCCGUGCCAGCAGCCGCGGUAAUACGGAGGAUGCGAGCGUUAUCCGGAUUUAUUGGGUUUAAAGGGUGCGCAGGCGGACUGUUAAGUCAGCAGUGAAAGGCCGGGGCCUAACCCCGGCACGGCCGUUGAACCUGGCAGUCUCGAGUUGAAGAGAGGUAUGCGGAAUGCGCGGUGUAGCGGUGAAAUGCAUAGAUAUCACGCAGAACUCCGAUGGCGAAGGCAGCAUGCCGGCUCCACACUGACGCUGAGGCACGAAAGCGUGGGGAUCGAACAGGAUUAGAUACCCUGGUAGUC